AACGUAGGACACAAGCGUUAUCCGGAGUUACUGGGCGUAAAGAGUGCGUAGGCGGUUUUCUAAGUUUGGUGUGAAAUCUCCCGGCUUAACUGGGAGGGUGCGCCGAAGACUGGAAGGCUUGAGUAUGGGAGAGGUAAGCGGAAUUCCUGGUGUAGCGGUGAAAUGCGUAGAUAUCAGGAGGAACACCUGCGGUGUAGACGGCUUACUGGACCAUCACUGACGCUGAGGCACGAUAGCGUGGGUAGCAAACCGG
rnacentral:rRNA from 1 species